AGGGAAACCUGAAGCCUACCAAGUGCCCACGUGGGGAUUGCCGUGAGCGUGAAUUCCGAGCAGGAAAGAAGAAGCAACAGGCCGGAGAAUGCAAGGGAGGGCCAGCAACAACACCCUCGCUGCUCCUUCGGACUUUAAAACUCUCCCUAUAGGUGAGCCACUCGACACAAAUCAUGUCUGGAAUAGGACUCCAUGCAGCCUACACUGGAAUACUCUUCCAAAAUAAGAUGCUGCUCCAUUUAAAUAAAAGAUGAAGGAUGCCGAAACAGAAGCAGCCUCUA